rnacentral:sRNA from 1 species
UUAACAUGCAGUCACUAGCAGCACGUCAAUUCGAUGUCAGUAGCAAUCAAAAGUAAAAAGGAAGCGAUAAAGUGCAGUAUAUAGUGAAAAUAAAGCGUGAUAAAUAAUAGUUGUAAAAUCGAGCGGCUCUACAAAGCACAAAUGCAGCCAGCUACAGUGAAGCCUGGACAAUGGAUGUUGGCAAUGCACGCGCUCAGAACAACGGGGGAAAACGGAAAAAGCGAGCACAAAUAACACUAGCACAACUUUAGUGAACACCGCCGCAGCACACACCAAACACAGAAACCCAAAUCUGCCACUCAAAACACUUUCCAAUACAAAGAACAAACAUCAAGCAAGGAAAGCAAAAAACACUAAAAGCGUCAAACAAAAAAAAAAAAAA